CUUCUAAAAUUGUCCUAAGCUCAUCUGGACAGGGCCUGUGGCUCACCUAUCUUGGUGUUCUCAGGGUGUGGCACAUGGAACUUUUUACCAGACAUUUGCUCACUGACUUGCUUAUACUUAUGCUAUUCUUGGCACAAGUUUUCUCCCUGGUUAACCUGUUAGACUUCGGCUGUGGUUUUGAGGCCCAGCUCGUGUGGACUUUAGACCAAAGGCCCCAUGAUUCCUUUAACUCAUUGCAGGACUGGCCGAGUGUCACUCCUGGUGUUGUCCCUGACUCCAUUUCACUCAACACUUAACAUUGUACAACAGAUAUUCUACAAGGUAGAGUGACCAUACAACAUCUAUGGUCUAAACUGGGACACUUUAGUGUCAAAGGGUCGGAUGUAACCCAGGAUUGAAAAACACUGGCCAUACUGUCCAGAGAGAGUUGUCAUUGGCCUGCCUCUGCAAGGCAGGGGUGUGUGAAUAUGCAUGACACUCAGCCUGUCUGGGUUUUGGUGUUCUAGUCUGCAAAUAGGAGGGCCAGACUGAAUAGAUCACACCUCAGGUUAUCAAAAGCACUAAAAUGGUAUGGCAAAUGGAGGAGGUAGGGCCUGUGAGAGGUGUUUUGGUGAAGGCUGUGAGAUGGUGAAGAGGUGAAGAUGUGAAGAGGUGUGGAGUCAGAGCAUGAGAACUCCAAGUCCAGGGUUAGCUAGGGCCCAGUCUGGAGGCAAUAGAGGGCUGCUAGGCAUUUCUGCUUUGGACAUGAGGUGAUGACCGUCCACCACUGUUGAAGAACUUGGCAUGCUGGGCAGUGAUUCCUUCCUCAGAGCAGGCAAGGUGGUUAUUACCACACAGUGGAAGAUAAGCCAGCUGACUUAUCAUUUUUGGAAGGAGGAGGUAUAAAAAUGAGUUUCUUCCCCAUUUAAGACUGGAUUAUUUUGAUCUAGGAUGGGAUGGAGAUUUGGAGUUUGUCAAGAGAAGACAAAUUCAUCCUUUCAUAGUUACUGCUUCAUCUCGCAUGUCCUUCUGGGCCACCUUGCCCUCUUUCCUCUCUCCUUGUGAUUUCUGUGAUCACGUGCUGUUAGGCAGGGUCCUCUCCACACCCAACAGAAGAGAAUUUCAGGCAUGCUAGGGCCUCCUAAGGUGAAGUAGGAACUCCUCCAGGGGUUGGGGAACAGAGGAGACUGGAGGAAAUAGUGGUAACGACUGACAUGGAGGGUUUUCUGGUGUGAGGCUCCUCGAGCUGCAGACCUCUCAGGCAGUUGCUGCGACUUAGAGGAAAACGAGAGUCUCUGAUUUAAAGCCACCUCUUCCUUCUUCUUCCCUCAGUGGUGCUGUUGUGGUUUCAGCCUCCCACUCUCCUUGGAGAAAAGGCCUGAAGCCCACCUGGCACUGCACCACAGGAUUUUCGAACUUGGAUAUGUUAUUUCAGCUCUUCAUACUUCAGUUUCUUUAUCUGUACAACCUUUAGAAGAUUAAAUGGUUUCACAUACAUGAGAGAGACACAGGAAAACUCUGUAUGAAGAUGGAGGGAGAGAUUGGAGUGAUGUAUCUACAAGCCAAAGGAUGACCGAGAUCGCUGAAGCCACCAGAAUCCAGGAGAAAUGCAUGAGGCACCAGGUUCAAACAAACAAACAAACAAACAAA